AGAAAUAGAAAUAAAUUAAUAUUCAAAUAUCCUCUGCUAACAGUUGAAGAUUGAUAAUGAAAUAUGUAUGAAAAAUAAAUUUAUGAAAAAUUAAUUACAAUAUAUUAAUUAUAGAAUGCUAUGCAAUUUUUUAAUAUUUUCUGCGCUUUUAUUCGACUUUCUUCAUGUGACGAUCCGUGAACAAGGACAUGUGACGUCGUCACUCUUCGUUGCUUCGUUCACGAGGGAGAUGAUUACGCAAAUUAUAUAGAACGACUCUAUGUAAUAAUGAACAUAAUGACCCUCUUUGUCCCAAGACGUAUCUCUUUCGCAUGAGUGACAAAGACGAACACUUAUUCUCCCUCUUCUCGUUUACUCGGCCACGCAGACGUAGCACUACGAUCGAUUUUCUAUAAUCCCGAUUCGCGCGUGGACGAUUACGCUUCUGCCUUCUCUCUGUCUCUCUUGUAGCUAAUUAAUAAAACUGGAGUAUAUUUUUUUGUCAUAGAAAAUUUACGGAUAUCGUUACUUUCUUAUAUCUUAAGAAAAAUAAAAAAUAAUUUUAACAUUAUUCGCACUUUAUAGUGCUUUAUUCGCUAAUUAAUUUAAAAACUAAUUUAUCUUUAUUCUUAAAAAGAUACAUUCUUCUUAAGAAAAAUUUUUCAAAUAAUAAAACAGAAGCAAAAAUGUUGUAUCAGUAUACAGUGUUAAAUGCAUAUUUAUCGAUAUAAAUGUUAUUAAAAAAA